UCCGUAGGUGAACCUGCGGAGGGAUCAUUACCGAGUUUACAACUCCCAAACCCCUGUGAACAUACCUAUACGUUGCCUCGGCGGAUCAGCCCGCGCCCUGUAAAACGGGACGGCCCGCCCGAGGACCCUAAACUCUGUUUUUAGUGGAACUUCUGAGUAAAACAAACAAAUAAAUCAAAACUUUCAACAACGGAUCUCUUGGUUCUGGCAUCGAUGAAGAACGCAGCAAAAUGCGAUAAGUAAUGUGAAUUGCAGAAUUCAGUGAAUCAUCGAAUCUUUGAACGCACAUUGCGCCCGCCAGUAUUCUGGCGGGCAUGCCUGUUCGAGCGUCAUUUCAACCCUCAAGCUCAGCUUGGUGUUGGGACUCGCGGUAACCCGCGUUCCCCAAAUCGAUUGGCGGUCACGUCGAGCUUCCAUAGCGUAGUAAUCAUACACCUCGUUACUGGUAAUCGUCGCGGCCACGCCGUAAAACCCCAACUUCUGAAUGUUGACCUCGGAUCAGGUAGGAAUACCCGCUGAACUUAAGCAUAUCAAUAAGCGGAGGA
rnacentral:rRNA from 2 species